CACCUGCACUUGAAAAUAUUUUUGAAAAUGUUUCUAAUUAUGUUUUGCUUUAGUUUCGGGUUCGUAAGCGUGGCGUUGACACGACCGGAUGACAUUAUCGCAGGGCAUUCUUUCUUAAUUUUUAACCACAUUUUUGAUAAAAAGAAUUAGUAGUCAUGGGGAAAAAUAAAGGAGGGAGUGGAGCAGGUAAAGGGGGCGGUGGCGGCGAUAACAGUGGAGGUGGUGGCGGUGGUGGAAAUAAAAAAGGUGGUGGCAGUGGUGAUAAGAGUGGGAACAAAAAUAAGGGUGCUGGGGUUGCGGAAAAAGCUGGUGGCAAAAAGGGGCAAGAACAGAAGGUUGGCGGUAGUGGAGGAGGAAAAAAAGGAAACAAGAAGUAACCACGAACGAUUAGGUGUUCACUUCCUCGAUUUAUUUGUAUAUUAAAAACUAUGUUGUAUACAAAACAGUUUUGCCAAUAAAAUUAAUAAAAGUUUAAAGUUAGCA